CUCACUGCAGCCCCCGCCCCCCGGGUUCAAGUGAUUCUCCUGCCUCAGCCUCCCGAGUAGCUGGGAUUACAGGUGCCUGCCACCACGCCUGGCUAAUUUUUGUAUUUUUAGUAGAGAUGGGGGUUUCACCAUGUUGGCCAGGCUGGUCUUGAACUCCUGACCUCAGAUGAUCCACCCGCCACGGCCUCCCAAAGUGCUAGGAUUACAGGUAUGAGCCACCGCGCCCAGCCCAAAGUAUUUAUCUGUUUAUAAAAUAUGGAUUUGUAUUUCUCCAUAGAUGUAUUCAGUUGUCUUUUUUUCUAUUAAUCUGAUAUUAGUCCCUAACAUAGUGUAUUUUUCUUUGUCUAUUUAAACAGAGAAAGGGAGAUACAGAAGGUUGUGUGUAAAGCCAAAUUGUUCUGGAAAAAGUAAGAUCUAUACCAAAAAGAAGGCCAAUGACCACCUGAGGUUGUCACGUGGAACCGGAUGAAAAAAACAGCCUAUUGCUCUAUAGAAAUGCAAUGGGUUGGCCCAGAAUCCUGAGAGGAGGCUGCCUACCAGAUUGGAUCUCACAUCUCUGGGAAAUGAAGCUUCUAGGUAAAUGGAUUUCAGCCGUGGCUCUUGAGGAAACAUGCGCCCCAAGUCCAAACUAGUCAAAGCAUUCCAUGUCCCUAGCUACAGAGAUUUGUUCCUGGAGGGUGUGUGGAUCUGAUCCAGUCAGAGAGAACCUCAGGACUCUGGUGGAAAUGCUGGGACAGAGACGUUCUCUCCCUCUGGAUGGUAUAGUACGUCAAGGUUCUUUCUCUGUUGCCCCAGCUGGAGUGCUAUGGCUUGACCUUCUGGGCACAAGUGAUCCUCCUAUCUCAGCCUUCUGAAUAGCUGGGACUACAGACAUGUACCACCAUGCCUAGCUGGAAUAAUGUUUUUAAAUGCAUAAACUAGAAGUACAUAGAACUAAAAAGGAAACCAAUUAUAUUGACAUAAAGUUAUCAAAAUAUUU